UACGGGGGGAGCAAGCGUUGUUCGGAUUUACUGGGCGUAAAGGGCGCGUAGGCGGCCAGCACAAGUCAGUUGUGAAAUCUCCGAGCUUAACUCGGAACGGUCAACUGAUACUGUGCGGCUAGAGUGCGGAGGGGGCAACUGGAAUUCUUGGUGUAGCGGUGAAAUGCGUAGAUAUCAAGAGGAACACCUGCGGCGAAGGCGGGUUGCUGGGCCGACACUGACGCUGAGGCGCGAAAGCCAGGGGAGCGAACGGG
rnacentral:rRNA from 1 species